ACUCAAAUGAAUUGACGGGGGUCCGCACAAGCGGUGGAACAUGUGGUUUAAUUCGACACUACGCGAGGAACCUUACCUGGGCUUGACAUGUAUCUGCAACUGAUGGAAACAUUGGGUUUUGUAGCAAUACAAACGGAUACACAGGUGCUGCAUGGCUGUCGUCAGCUCGUGUCGUGAGACGUCGGGUUAAGUCCUUGAACGAGCGCAACCCUUGCCGUUAGUUGCUAAGCGAAAGCAAGCACUCUAGCGGGACUGCCUUGGAAACAAGGAGGAAGGUGGGGAUGACGUCAAGUCCUCAUGGCCCUUAUGCCCAGGGCGACACACGUGUUACAAUGGCGAAGAACAAAAGGAUGCGAAGUCGCGAGAUGGAGCAAAUCCAAUAAAAUUCGUCUAAGUUCAGAUUGUAGUCUGCAACCCGACUACAUGAAGCUGAAAUCGCUAGUAAUCGCGUAUCAGAACGACGCGGUGAAUACGUUCUCGGACCUUGUACACACCGCCCGU
rnacentral:rRNA from 1 species